rnacentral:lncRNA from 1 species
GAGGAAACAAGGUAAUAACCUUAACAUCAGGCCCCAUUUUGGAAAAUUAGUGAAACCUGGUUAACUUCAGGACCAACUGAAAUAAUUCAAGUUUUUCCAUGUUGGCAGAAGUUGCUUUAUUUUUAGUAUCUGGCAGAGCAGCAAAUGCUCUGCAUGUCAAUUUAAUGUUUUUUGAAGCCUUUGAAAAGGCUAAGUCAAAACCAGGACAGUGCAGUUCAAGGAAUUAAUUUUUAUUAUGAAAUAAUCAGAGCAUCUUUCUAGAUUUUCAGGUUUUUAAACUGCUAAGAAAUGGAAUCUCUAUAGAGUAAAUUUCAGUGAACUGUCAAAAGAUUAUUUUAUUGAUCUACGUAUUUAUUCUUGACCUUGAUAACAUUCUGAGACAGUGAGACCUGUUUUUCCAUUUUUGAGGGUGGGGUGCUCUGUAGAUUUUGGUAAAAUGAGUGGAGCUGCAUUCUUUAGUCUUUAUUAUUUUAUCCUCCCUCCAUAUUACUCACUGUAAAAGACACAUGCGUGCAUUCACACACUCAUUCAGUGUUGUAGCUGUAAUCAGCACAAAGACUGACUGGGGAAAGGAUUCCCAACUCCAGUUAAGAACAUGGAAGUGUGUAGCAGAUCAAGAUGCUGUGGAGAAACUCAGGAGUCAAACCAUCUGUGCCCUUGGGUCUCAGUGAAGUAUAUAGUUUCUUCAUCUCCUCUGAUCGGUGAGCGUUCUAGGGAUGUGUGUUCAGUUUGCUAGAAUUUCUUCAGACACAGCAGUACUAUCCGAGAUCUUCCAGCCACUCUAGCCUUUGUGACCUUGAUCCCUGGAACACAGCCACAGGCCUUUGUUGGGACUAUCCAUUAAAUGCCAUGCAGUAUGCUGGGUGUUUAGAUGUGCUUUUCAAAUCAAUAAUUAGCUGAGAGAGAAUCAUCUUUUUAUUAGUAUUAGUAAUUCCUUUUUACAUUCAGGUAAGAAAGCAUAAGACUUUUCUGAGUAGGAUGGAAUUUAGAAAAAAAUGAAGUACAUACCUUUUAUGUCCAGACCAGGUUUCUUAAGGAAACAGAAUAAAAGGGACUGAAGGGAAGGAAAGGUAUAGUGUCCAAGAAAAGCCCUGGCUCCUGGCUGCUCCUGCCCCAGGGUCCUUCCUGUGUCCUCUCUGGCAUCAUUCUAGAAGGCCCAGCCCACACCCCCGCCCAGGGCCCAUGGGCCGCCUCUUGCUGAAUUGCUGCAGGGGGCCUGCUCUGUGACAGGUAUGGAAUGAGGUAAUCUUUUCCCACCUCUAAUUUCUGAAAGGUGUGUCUGUCCAGUUAUUACUUGUUCAUUGAACUGAAAGGUUCAGAAACCAACAGCUCUCGUACAAGCUGUAAUUAUUGAUGUCUGUUUCAUAUUCAUCUGUAAGUUCUGGCAUUUGAUCAAGAAGUUAAUAUAUCACUUCAUUUUCAGGCUGAAUAUGCCUCAGCUAUAAACGUUAUAUUUUUUGAUGGAUAGUAUACAAUUACAACUGCCCAGAAUAAAAAGUGUUUUCAUUUG